rnacentral:rRNA from 1 species
CACGUAGGGCGCAAGCGUUGUCCGGAAUUAUUGGGCGUAAAGAGCUCGUAGGCGGUCUGUUGCGUCCGCUGUGAAAACUCGGGGCUUAACCCCGGAGCCUGCAGUGGAUACGGGCAGACUAGAGGUAGGUAGGGGAGAAUGGAAUUCCCGGUGUAGCGGUGAAAUGCGCAGAUAUCGGGAGGAACACCGGUGGCGAAGGCGGUUCUCUGGGCCUUACCUGACGCUGAGGAGCGAAAGCGUGGGGAGCGAACAGGG